AGUCAAUGAUCUAACGAUUGAUCUAGUUACUUAGAAAGAUGAUAAUAUUAUGUAUUAUAAUAUAUAUUAAUUCUUUGGAUUAAUUAUAUUAUAAUAUUUUUUAAUAUUAUAUAUUUAUUAUAUAUUUUAAUAUAAUAAUAAAUAUUAUAAUAAUAAAUAUUAAAAAAAUAUUAAUGUAAAAUAUAAAAUCUAAAUAUAUAAUUAAAUAAUGAUUGAUUAUAUACAAUAGUCUUAACAAAUAAUAGUGCCAGCAGUUGCGGUAAUACUAUUAAGGCUAACGUUAAUCGAUAAUUGGCUUAAAGGAUCCGUAGGAUUGUAUUAAUAUUUAAUAUUAAAUUUAAAUAUAUUAAAUAAAUAUAUAAUAUAUAUUAUAUUAUAUAUAUAAAAAUACUAGAAUUUAUAUAAGGAUUUAAGAAUAGUUAAAUGAGAGCUAAUAUUCUAUGAAAUUAAUUAGACUGUCAAAGGUGAAGACAUAAAUCUAAGUAUAAAUUGACAUUGAGGGAUGAAGGCAUAAGUAGCGAAAAGGAUUAGAUACCCUUGUAGUUUAUGCAGACAACUAUGAAUACCAUUUAUAAUUAUAAAAUAAUUAUAAAUCAGUGAAAACGAAAGUAUUCCGCCAGGAGAGUAUAUUCGCAAGAAUGAAAUUCAAGACAAUAGACGGUUACAGAUCUCAGCAGUGGAUUGUGUUAU
rnacentral:rRNA from 1 species